rnacentral:lncRNA from 1 species
UUUUUUUUUUUUGAGACGGAGUCUCGCUCUGUUGCCCAGGCUAAAGUGCAAUGGCACAAUCUCAGCUCACUGCAACCUCCACUUCCCGCGUUCAAGCGAUUCUCCUGCCCUCAGCCUCCUGAGUAGCUGGGAUUACAGGCACCCACCAUUAUGCCCGGCUAAUUUUUGUAUUUUUAGUAGAGAUGGGGUUUCACCAUGUUAGGCUGGUCUUGAACUCCUGACCUCAGGUGAUCCACCUGCCUCGGUCCCCCAAAGUGCUGGGAUUAUAGGCAUGAGCCACCGCACCCAGCUACCUUCUCUGUCUUUCCCAUACUCUUUCUCUUGGAAUGUAAUCCUCUGCAUUUGACACAGUAACAUAAACUGACAGUGAAGCCAAUUUUCAGGUCAUUUUUCUUGGCAGAGCUUAUCGGCUCUGUCCCAGUGUUAUGGAUCCACAUCUUACACCGACUUCCAUAAAGUGAAAGAUUGCACAAGGACAUAAGCAACUUGAGGCCAGAGACGACAUCCUGUUCAUCUUUAUGUUCUCAACACCCUCGCAACUGAGGGCACACUGGGAGCCUUCAGUGUUUCUGAAAAGGGCAGUAAAGCAGGAGAGACACACAGUCAUUACAGUAAAAAUAACAUUCUGAGCUACUAGUGUGGCAGUAGUCUGUGGAAUAAUCUCAGAUAGCAGUAUACAGUUGGGAAGCACGGAGCCAAUGUAUGGGAUAGAACAUUGCACAGUUCUCUUUAGAAUGGGAGCAUCAGUGACCUUUUUGUCCUUAGUUUUCUAAGACAAUGCAAUAUAAUAAAAUGAUAGGCUGAGCAACAGAAAAAUUUGGUGGAAAUCAAGUCUGAUAUAUGCUGAGCAUAUGUGAAAUCAGUUUCUUAAUCUGAGUGUUAGUCACUGUUAGAAUGUUUGAUAAUGUCUGGAAUGAGUCUUUUGGUUUUAUAGUUGACUUGAGGUUUUGCUUAAAAAGAAUAAUUUCAUCCUUUGUUAGUUGUUUUGCUGUUUUCUACUUCAUAAUAUAAAAGUAAAAGCACUCC